rnacentral:rRNA from 1 species
CCUACGGGAGGCAGCAGUGGGGAAUCUUCCGCAAUGGACGAAAGUCGUCGGAGCGACGCCGCGGAACGAGACGGCAUUCGGGUGUAAAGUUCUUUAUACGGACGAAGGUCGACGCCGAUAACCGUCGAAAGUGACGGUACCGGGAGAGAAAGCCAAGGCUAACUA